rnacentral:misc_RNA from 1 species
GGAGUAAAAGUCGUAACAAGGUUUCCGUAGGUGAACCUGCGGAAGGAUCAUUAUUGAAUAAAUUUGGUAGAGGUUGUUGCUGGUUCUUAGGAGCAAGUGCACGCCUUUCCAUCUUUACUUCUCCACCUGUGCACAUUUUGUAGUCUUUUUUGAUGGGAAGCAGCUAAAUACUCGAGGCAACUCGGAUGGUAGGAUCUGCUGUGCCACAUGGUCAGCUUUCCUUGUACAUUGCCUUCAAUCUUAAAGGUCUACGUUUUUCAUAUAACCCAAAUGUAUGUCAUUAGAAUGUAAUCAAUGGGCUUUGUUGCCUAUAAAACAAAUACAACUUUCAGCAACGGAUCUCUUGGCUCUC